rnacentral:rRNA from 1 species
AGUUGGAUUCGCUAGUAAUCGCGCAUCAGCCAUGGCGCGGUGAAUACGUUCCCGGGCCCUUGUACACACCGCCCGUCAAGCCAUGGGAGCCGGGGGCGCCUGAAGUCCGGGACCGCGAGGACCGGCCUAGGGCGAAACUGGUAACUGGGGCUAAGUCGUAACAAGGUACC